CCUACGGGGAGCAGCAGUGGGGAAUAUUGCACAAUGGGGGAAACCCUGAUGCAGCGACGCCGCGUGAGUGAAGAAGUAUUUCGGUAUGUAAAGCUCUAUCAGCAGGGAAGAAAAUGACGGUACCUGACUAAGAAGCCCCGACUAACUACGUGCCAUCAGCCGCGGUAAUACGUAGGGGGCAAGCAUUAUCCGGAUUUACUGGGUGUAAAGGGAGCGUAGACGGCCAGACAAGUCAGAAGUGAAAGCCCAGGGCUCAACCCUGGGACUGUUUUGGAAACUGCCGGGCUAGAGUGCAGGAGAGGUAAGCGGAAUUCCUAGUGUAGCGGUGAAAUGCGUAGAUAUUAGGAGGAACACCAGUGGCGAAGGCGGCUUACUGGACUGUAACUGACGUUGAGGCUCGAAAGCGUGGGGAGCAAACAGGAUUAGAUACCCCAGUAGUC
rnacentral:rRNA from 1 species